rnacentral:rRNA from 1 species
CGGCACCUCAAGUGGUCAGGAUGAUUAUUGGGCCUAAGGCAUCCGUAGCCGGCUCUGUAAGUUUUCGGUUAAAUCUGUACGCUCAACGUACAGGCUGCCGGGAAUACUGCAGAGCUAGGGAGUGGGAGAGGUAGACGGUACUCGGUAGGAAGGGGUAAAAUCCUUUGAUCUAUUGGUGACCACCUGUGGCGAAGGCGGUCUACCAGAACACGUCCGACGGUGAGGGAUGAAAGCUGGGGGAGCAAACCGGAUUAGAUACCCGAGUAGUCC